rnacentral:rRNA from 1 species
CAAAGGUCGGAACGGUAGCACAGAGAGCUUGCUCUCGGGUGACGAGUGGCGGACGGGUGAGUAAUGUCUGGGAAACUGCCCGAUGGAGGGGGAUAACUACUGGAAACGGUAGCUAAUACCGCAUAACGUCGCAAGACCAAAGAGGGGGACCUUCGGGCCUCUUGCCAUCGGAUGUGCCCAGAUGGGAUUAGCUUGUAGGUGAGGUAACGGCUCACCUAGGCGACGAUCCCUAGCUGGUCUGAGAGGAUGACCAGCCACACUGGAACUGAGACACGGUCCAGACUCCUACGGGAGGCAGCAGUGGGGAAUAUUGCACAAUGGGCGCAAGCCUGAUGCAGCCAUGCCGCGUGUAUGAAGAAGGCCUUCGGGUUGUAAAGUACUUUCAGCGGGGAGGAAGGGAGUGAGGUUAAUAACCUUAUUCAUUGACGUUACCCGCAGAAGAAGCACCGGCUAACUCCGUGCCAGCAGCCGCGGUAAUACGGAGGGUGCAAGCGUUAAUCGGAAUUACUGGGCGUAAAGCGCACGCAGGCGGUCUGUCAAGUCGGAUGUGAAAUCCCCGGGCUCAACCUGGGAACUGCAUUCGAAACUGGCAGGCUGGAGUCUUGUAGAGGGGGGUAGAAUUCCAGGUGUAGCGGUGAAAUGCGUAGAGAUCUGGAGGAAUACCGGUGGCGAAGGCGGCCCCCUGGACAAAGACUGACGCUCAGGUGCGAAAGCGUGGGGAGCAAACAGGAUUAGAUACCCUGGUAGUCCACGCUGUAAACGAUGUCGACUUGGAGGUUGUUCCCUUGAGGAGUGGCUUCCGGAGCUAACGCGUUAAGUCGACCGCCUGGGGAGUACGGCCGCAAGGUUAAAACUCAAAUGAAUUGACGGGGGCCCGCACAAGCGGUGGAGCAUGUGGUUUAUUUCGAUGCAACGCGAAGACCCUUACCUACUCUUGACAUCCAGAGGACUUAGCAAGAGAUGCUUUGGUGCCUUCGGGACUUCUGAGACAGGUGCUGCAUGGCUGUUCGUCAGCUCGUGUUGUGAAAUGUUGGUUAGUCCCGCACGAGCGCAAUCCUUUAUCCUUUGUUGCAGCGAAUCAGUUCGGGACUCAGGAGAACUUUCCAGUGAUUACUGGAAGAAGGUGGGGAUGACGGUCAAGGUCCAUCAUGGUCCUACAGAUAGGCUACCACCGUGCUCUCAUGCAUUUACAGAAGUCGACCUUCGCUGAGACAGCGACCCUAUAGAAUGUCGAAUCGCGAUUGAAUCGUCA